UACGUAGGGGCAAGCGUUGUCCGGAUUAUUGGGCGUAAAGAGCGUGUAGGCGGCUAGGUAGGUCCGUUGUGAAAACUCGAGGCUCAACCUCGAGACGUCGAUGAAACCAUCUAGCUAGAGUCCGGAAGAGGAGAGUGGAAUUCCUGGUGUAGCGGUGAAAUGCGCAGAUAUCAGGAAGAACACCCGUGGCGAAGGCGGCUCUCUGGUACGUGACUGACGCUGAGACGCGAAAGCGUGGGGAGCGAACAGG
rnacentral:rRNA from 1 species